UUCAUGGAGAGUUUGAUCCUGGCUCAGGACGAACGCUGGCGGCGUGCCUAAUACAUGCAAGUCGAGCGAAUCUUGAGGAGCUUGCUCCUCUUGGUUAGCGGCGGACGGGUGAGUAACACGUGGGCAACCUGCCUGUAAGACUGGGAUAACAUCGGGAAACCGAUGCUAAUACCGGAUAAUCCUUUUCCUCUCAUGAGGGAAAGCUGAAAGUCGGCUUCUCGCUGACACUUACAGAUGGGCCCGCGGCGCAUUAGCUAGUUGGUGAGGUAACGGCUCACCAAGGCGACGAUGCGUAGCCGA
rnacentral:ncRNA from 1 species